CCCCAAAGCAACCCCCUCCGAAAGCCUAACAAGCUUUCACCCAAAGCUGCCUAGCUUCUUCUGCUGCCGCUGACGUUGCUUCUCAGUCCACCAUAGAGUCCUACAUUCUGGAGAAGUUCAUCAAGAUGGAUGAUGGGUGAUCACCCAUCCUGAAUUGGGCAGGACAGCCCCGAAAUGCAGAGUUCAAGUUCUGGUCCCGGG